CCUACGGGGGGCAGCAGUAGGGAAUAUUGCUCAAUGGGCGAAAGCCUGAAGCAGCAACGCCGCGUGGAGGAUGAAGGUUUUCGGAUUGUAAACCUCUUUUGUUAGGGAAGAAAAUGACGGUAUCUAACGAAUAAUCAACGUCUAAUACCGUGCCAGCAGCCGCGGUAAUACGGCGGGUGCAAGCGUUACUCGGAAUCACUGGGCGUAAAGAGGGCGUAGGCGGGUUAGCAAGUCAGUGGUGAAAUCCUAGGGCUGAACCAUAGAACUGCAGUUGAAACUGGUAUUCUUGAGUAUGGGAGAGGUAGGUGGAAUUCGUGGUGUAGGGGUGAAAUGCGUAGAGAUCAAGAGGAAUACUCAUUGCGAAGGCGACUUGCUGGAACAUAACUGACGCUGAGGCGCGAAAGCGUGGGUAGCAAACAGGAUUAGAUACCCUAGUAGUC
rnacentral:rRNA from 1 species